GAGUUCAGGGAGCCCGCGCCGAGCCUCACGGGGGCGCGGCCGGCCUCCUUUGUCCUGGCCGCCUCCAGCUGGUGAGAGGAGAGGCGACCCUCGCUGAGUGCCCCUUUCCCCGCAGCGAUCAGGGGCGACGGAAAGCUGGCGGUGAUCUGGCCUCCCCGCAGAAAAGCUUCGGAGAACGGGCUGGAGCAGGAGGAGCGGAAGCCUUGAGGUUGGAGCAGGCUGGGACCCCCGGCCGGAAGUAACAUUCCCGUCAGAGGACCCGGGCAGGGACGCCCAGGAGUGCCCUCCAGAUCAGUGGAAGGCCUGGAGCGGGGCCAGCGGUCUGCUCUUGGGAAGAUGAAAUCGACCAGCCCAUCCUUGAACUAGACUUUGUGAAAUUGACCAGCCUCUGCUAUAAAAUUGUUAUUCCCCAUUGGGAAACACCACCACGACACAGCCAGUGAAACUGUCCAGCCCUUCUCCGCCUAACUGCAAACGGAACUAGCCUCUCCCUCCUGCCUUGACUGUUAGAGAACCAGGUCAUCGCCUCGGCUGUCCCCACUUCCCAAUAAAGUCCUUUCU